rnacentral:rRNA from 1 species
AUUGAACGCUGGCGGCAGGCCUAACACAUGCAAGUCGAGCGAGCGGCGGACGGGUGAGUAAUGUAUGGGGAUCUGCCCGAUAGAGAGGGAUAACUACUGGAAACGGUGGCUAAUACCGCAUACCAUCGGAUGUGCCCCGGUGGGAUUAGCUAGUAGGGGGGGUAACGGCUCACCUAGGCGACGAUCCCUAGCUGGGCUGAGAGGAUGACCAGCCACACUGGAACUGAGACACGGUCCAGACUCCUACGGGAGGCAGCAGUGGGGAAUAUGGCACAAUGGGCGCAAGCCUGAUGCAGCCAUGCCGCGUGUAUGAAGAAGGCCUUCGGUUUGUAAAGUACUUUCAGCGAGGAGGCGUUACUCGCAGAAGAAGCACCGGCUAACUCCGUGCCAGCAGCCGCGGUAAUAC